AAUAGAUACCCUGGUAGUCCACGCCGUAAACGAUGAGUGCUAAGUGUUAGGGGGUUUCCGCCCCUUAGUGCUGCAGCUAACGCAUUAAGCACUCCGCCUGGGGAGUACGGUCGCAAGACUGAAACUCAAAGGAAUUGACGGGGGCCCGCACAAGCGGUGGAGCAUGUGGUUUAAUUCGAAGCAACGCGAAGAACCUUACCAGGUCUUGACAUCCCAUUGACCGCUAUGGAGACAUGGCUUUCCCUUCGGGGACAGUGGUGACAGGUGGUGCAUGGUUGUCGUCAGCUCGUGUCGUGAGAUGUUGGGUUAAGUCCCGCAACGAGCGCAACCCUUGUUCUUAGUUGCCAUCAUUUAGUUGGGCACUCUAAGGAGACUGCCGGUGACAAACCGGAGGAAGGUGGGGAUGACGUCAAAUCAUCAUGCCCCUUAUGACCUGGGCUACACACGUGCUACAAUGGACGGUACAAACGGUUGCCAACCCGCGAGGGGGAGCUAAUCCGAUAAAACCGUUCUCAGUUCGGAUUGUAGGCUGCAACUCGCCUACA
rnacentral:rRNA from 1 species